UGCACGAUGGAGCAGUUGGUAGCACUAGGUUAGGAAGGUCCUGGGUUCGAUUCCCAGCUGGGGGUCUUUCUGCAU